AAUGCAGUGUGCAUGUACCAUGGAUAUGAACCACUGCGCUUGGAUAUUGGUUGACAAAUAGAUUUACUGCUUACUCGACAAUGAUAGAAACUGAACUGGCGGUACUAAUUAGAAGUACUCCUACCUCCUACGUGCGUGAACAACGUCAGCUGAGCCAGGGACCGUCACCAUGUCCAAUGGUACAACAACGGUCACAGAUUGGGAAAACGACGCGACCACCACAAUACGUCUUCCAACCGAUGAGUCACCCUCAACACC